GACGAACGCUGGCGGCGUGCUUAACACAUGCAAGUCGAACGAAGAGCGAUGGAAGCUUGCUUCUAUCAAUCUUAGUGGCGAACGGGUGAGUAACGCGUAAUCAACCUGCCCUUCAGAGGGGGACAACAGUUGGAAACGACUGCUAAUACCGCAUACGAUCUAAUCUCGGCAUCGAGGAUAGAUGAAAGGUGGCCUCUACAUGUAAGCUAUCACUGAAGGAGGGGAUUGCGUCUGAUUAGCUAGUUGGAGGGGUAACGGCCCACCAAGGCGAUGAUCAGUAGCCGGUCUGAGAGGAUGAACGGCCACAUUGGGACUGAGACACGGCCCAGACUCCUACGGGAGGCAGCAGUGGGGAAUCUUCCGCAAUAGACGAAAGUCUGACGGAGCAACGCCGCGUGAGUGAUGACGGCCUUCGGGUUGUAAAGCUCUGUUAAUCGGGACGAAAGGCCUUCUUGCGAACAGUUAGAAGGAUUGACGGUACCGGAAGAGAAAGCCACGGCUAACUACGUG
rnacentral:rRNA from 1 species